AGUGAACGCUGGCGGUAGGCCUAACACAUGCAAGUCGAACGGCAGCACAGUAAGAGCUUGCUCUUACGGGUGGCGAGUGGCGGACGGGUGAGGAAUACAUCGGAAUCUACUUUUUCGUGGGGGAUAACGUAGGGAAACUUACGCUAAUACCGCAUACGACCUACGGGUGAAAGCAGGGGAUCUUCGGACCUUGCGCGAUUGAAUGAGCCGAUGUCGGAUUAGCUAGUUGGCGGGGUAAAGGCCCACCAAGGCGACGAUCCGUAGCUGGUCUGAGAGGAUGAUCAGCCACACUGGAACUGAGACACAGUCCAGACUCCUACGGGAGGCAGCAGUGGGGAAUAUUGGACAAUGGGCGCAAGCCUGAUCCAGCCAUACCGCGUGGGUGAAGAAGGCCUUCGGGUUGUAAAGCCCUUUUGUUGGGAAAGAAAAGCAGCAGGUUAAUACCCCGCUGUUCUGACGGUACCCAAAGAAUAAGCACCGGCUAACUUCGU
rnacentral:rRNA from 1 species